rnacentral:rRNA from 1 species
CGGACGGGUGAGUAACGCGUGGGCAACCUGCCCUGUACUGGGGGAUAACACCUGGAAACAGGUGCUAAUACCGCAUAAGCGCGCAGUGCCGCAUGGCACGGCGCGGAAAACCCCGGUGGUACAGGAUGGGCCCGCGUCUGAUUAGCUGGUUGGCAGGGUAACGGCCUACCAAGGCGACGAUCAGUAGCCGGCCUGAGAGGGUGGACGGCCACACUGGGACUGAGACACGGCCCAGACUCCUACGGGAGGCAGCAG